AAAGGGAGACCUAAUUCAGGUAAAAGACGAAAAAAAAGUAGUCGCUACCAAGAAUCAAUCCCAAAAGGUCGGAGCGAGGCGAAAUUGGCUUUCAAACUAGGUUCUGGGUUCAAACAAGACCUGAAUCAGGAACAAGGGCUAUUAGCUCAGGUGGUUAGAGCGCACCCCUGAUAAGGGUGAGGUCCCUGGUUCGAGUCCAGGAUGGCCUACCUGCACAGGUGGCAAAAACAAGAGAAGCGAGGAAUCAGCACCUUAUCUUACUUAUAUAGUAAGAGAGAAUGCUGGCUCUGAGUAAAGAGUCCAGAGGAACCUUGAAAACUGCAUAGAGCUAGGUGAAAAAGCCAAAAAAGAAGACCGCAAG
rnacentral:tRNA from 1 species